rnacentral:tRNA from 1 species
GGUGAGAUGGCUCAGUGGGUAAGAGCACCCGACUGCUCUUCCGAAGGUUCGGAGUUCAAAUCCCCGCAACCA